UUAAAGAAAACCAAAUAGAGGUGUAUUACUGUUAAUAAUAUCAUUGAUUUAUGUCUCUUUGAA
rnacentral:tRNA from 1 species